AUUAGUUUAUAAAACCUUAAAUUGCAAAUUUAAAUUAUCAACAAAUAAAUCAUUUAG
rnacentral:tRNA from 1 species